rnacentral:rRNA from 1 species
UGAGGAAUAUUGGUCAAUGGGCGAAAGCCUGAACCAGCCAUGUCGCGUGCAGGAUGACGGCCCUAUGGGUUGUAAACUGCUUUUUUACAGGAAUAAUUGCAGAUACGUGUAUUUGUUUGAAUGUACUGUAUGAAUAAGGAUCGGCUAACUCCGUGCCAGCAGCCGCGGUAAUACGGAGGAUUCGAGCGUUAUCCGGAUUUAUUGGGUUUAAAGGGUCCGUAGGCGGUUCUUUAAGUCAGUGGUGAAAUCCCAGAGCUCAACUCUGGAACUGCCAUUGAAACUGAAGAACUUGAAUAUGGUUGAGGUAGGCGGAAUACGUUAUGUAGCGGUGAAAUGCAUAGAUAUAACGUAGAACACCAAUUGCGAAGGCAGCUUACUAAACCAUUAUUGACGCUGAUGGACGAAAGCGUGGGGAGCGAACAGGAUUAGAUACCCUGGUAGUCCACGCCGUAAACGAUGAUUACUCGUUGUGCACAAUACACCGUGCGUGACUGAGCGAAAGCAUUAAGUAAUCCACCUGGGGAGUACCUUCGCAAGAAUGAAACUCAAAGG